rnacentral:rRNA from 1 species
CAGUAGCCGCGGUAAUACAGAGGGUGCAAGCGUUAAUCGGAAUUACUGGGCGUAAAGCGCGCGUAGGUGGUUCGCCAAGUUGGAUGUGAAAUCCCCGGGCUCAACCUGGGAACUGCAUCCAAAACUGGCGAGCUAGAGUAUGGUAGAGGGUGGUGGAAUUUCCUGUGUAGCGGUGAAAUGCGUAGAUAUAGGAAGGAACAUCAGUGGCGAAGGCGACCACCUGGACUGAUACUGACACUGAGGUGCGAAAGCGUGGGGAGCAAACAGGAUUAGAUACCCGUGUAGUCCCUGUCUCUUAUAA